UGGACUUCCCAAGAUGGCGGAAGGUGGACCACCGGAUUGUGAGACUCAGAAGUCAGAAAUAAGCAAUUUACUGAAACUGACCCUUAAAAAAGGCGAGACUUGGUACCUUGUGGACAUCAAAUGGUUUAAGCAGUGGAAGAAGUUUGUGGGCUACGACAGCUGGGACUCUUGUAGUGUGGGGGAUGAAAGCACAAACCCAGGACCUAUAGACAACUCUGCUCUUCUUAAAGACAAUGGUCAACUCAAGGAGCACCUUGUGGAUGACCUUGACUAUACGCUGUUCCCGGCUGAGGCCUGGAACAAGCUGUUGUCCUGGUACGGCAUCAUCGACGGACAGGACCCCAUCAGUAGGUGUGUUAUUGAGGACGGCAUGUAUCUGAAACAGCUAAAGGUGGAGGUAUAUCUCUACAAUAUAGUUCUCAGCCUGUAUGGCCAGCAAAGUAAAGAACAAUCACUGACGAGAGAUGUCAGUCGAGCAGCGACAAUAGCUGAGUUGGAGAAGCUGAUGAGACAGGAGUUCAGCAUCUCGGAGGACAAGGAGGUGAGGCUGUGGAACCGGUACAUGAGCUCCACCUACGAGCAUCUCAACAAACCUGACAACACACUGCAGGACGCAGGACUCUACCAGGGACAGGUGAUAGUGAUAGAGGAGAAGAAUGAGGAUGGUACCUGGCCUCGACAAGCCAAGAGCACAAGCAGCUACAACUCCACCGGCUCCUAUGAACGCUCGUCCUACACGACCCGGUCGGGUGGUGGCUAUGGCGGCAGCAGCUACGAUUCGGGCUACAGUUAUGGAAGCUAUGAUUCUGGUUACAGUAAAGGCAGUGGUGCUGCCAACCCUGGACUGUGUGGACUGGCCAACCUCGGAAACACCUGCUUCAUGAACUCAGCCCUGCAGUGUAUGAGCAACGUGCCACAGUUGACAGACCAUAUGAUGGAUGACAAGAAAUGGGAGAAGGAACUGAACGAGGACAACCCGCUUGGCAACAAGGGCGAGAUCGCCAAGUCGUAUGCUGAGCUCAUCAAGACCAUGUGGUCUGGGAGGUACAGCUACACAGUACCCAGGAACUUCAAGGUUGCUGUAGGCCGAUUUGCACCCCAGUUCUCUGGAUACCAACAGCAGGACUCGCAGGAGUUGAUGGCAUUCCUGCUUGACGGGCUUCAUGAAGACAUGAACAGAAUCCGGAAGAAGCCCUAUGUAGAGCUGAAAGAUGAUGACGGAAGGCCAGACUCAAUGGUGGCUGCUGAAGCUUGGGAGAAUUACCGCAAAAGGAAUGAUUCGAUAAUUGUUGACAUAUUUCAUGGACUUCUCAAAUCCACCGUGCAGUGUCCUGAGUGUUCAAAAAUCUCUGUGACCUUUGACCCAUUCUGUUACCUCUCACUGCCCCUUCCUAUCAAGAAAGAACGGCAGAUGGAAGUGUUCUGGGUGCCCCUUGCUCCCAAGGCGAAACCAGUGCAGUUCAAACUGACCGUUCCUAAGAUGGGAAUUGUUGGCGACAUAUGUAAGGCGUUGUCAUCCUUUGUUAAUGUCCCAUCAGAAAAGAUGGUUGUCACUGAUGUCUAUAACCACAGGUUUCACCGAGUCUUUGCCCUGGAGGAAGGUCUCAACCACAUCCUAGACAGAGAUGACAUAUUUGUAUACGAGGUGCCAGUGAAUACUGCUGAGGAUCCCAACACUCUCAUUGUUCCUAUCUAUCUACGGGAGAAACGGUCAUCAGGCAAGGAUGCCUAUGUGUCCAGCAACCAGUUGUUCGGUCAACCCCUCCUCCUACCAGUACCCAAGGGGACGUGUAGCUAUGAGGAACUCUAUACCCUGCUCCUGCAAAGAAUGUCACGUUAUGUGAAGACGCCAAAGCCAAGCGAGCAGUGGUGGGUGAAGUUGAAGAAGAGAGAGGAUCCCCAGGAGGAUGAGAAGGACAGCAAGGGGGACAUGGGAGGGGAUGGGGGAGACAACUCUUCAAACAACGCUGAUGAGAAGGAGACCCUAGAGAAUGAGGAGCCUCAAGUUAAUGGGGAGGUGAGCAGUAUGGACACCAAUGUAUCUGAUGACGAGUUGGAGACAGAUCGGGCUGCAGAGAAGAUGGGAGAAGAUGAGGAAGAGGAGGAGGAUGAAGGCCCUAGACGGCUGUUCACCUUCUCUCAGGUCAACUCAUAUGGCAGCAGCGAGCUGGACGGCAAACUGCUGGACGAUGGUCGGCCUCUCAAGCUUACAUCCAAGACCUACAUUGCUCUGGACUGGGAUCCUCUGGCUAAAGAAAAGUUUUAUAUUGAGAAAGAUGCUGAGGAUUUUGAGCAGCAUGACACCAUCCGGUACCGCAAUGUGCCCAAGAGGCAGGCCAUCCAGCUCAAUGACUGCCUCAAGAUCUUCACAGAUGCAGAGAAACUCAGCGAACAUGACCCAUGGUACUGCCCGUCUUGUAAGCGCCACCAACAAGCCACGAAGAAGUUCGACCUGUGGUCACUGCCAAAUAUGCUCAUCAUCCACUUGAAGAGGUUCUCCUACAACAGAUACUGGAGGGACAAGAUUGAUGCUCUCGUUGAGUUCCCCACAGAAGGUCUUGAUUUACGGAAGUACAUCAUCAACCCAGACCAUGGCCGUGCUGUGUACGACCUCAUCUCUGUUUCCAACCACUAUGGGGGACUUGGAGGAGGACACUACACGGCAUUUGCGAAGAACAAGGAGGAGAAUGAGUGGCAUUAUUUCGACGACUCCAGCGUGAGUCAGUCCAGUGAAGAGGCUGUUGUGACAAAAGCUGCGUAUGUGUUGGUGUAUCAGAAGCGAGAACAAAAAAUGCCCCCGCCGCCUGUGCCUGCAAAAAACCAAAUCAGCCACUGUGACUACAGCGUCUGCCAGCUCUGCAGCUGAGGCAGAGACAUCGUGUUGCACCAAUGGACUUGAAUCUCCAGACAGUGCUCAUUGCAAUGAUAUUGAGAUGGAUACGUCGACAUGAUACCCUCCUGCAUAGAUGAUCGUUACCAAAUGAACGCACCUCCCUGGUACCACCCAUCUCACCACGGAUUCCUUCAACAAGUGUAGAGGAGACCAAAAUACAGGGCAAGAAAUAGAUACAAUGCUAGAGAAAGGUACCACAAUUGUACAACACUGCUUCAGACAAGCUACAUUUCUUUGGAAGUAAACCAAGAUAGACUAGGAACAGUUGACAAGCUUCCACAAGGAUAUAUACAGUAGAGAGAUAGGUGACACUCCUAGCUGUGCAGGACCUUGUUCCAGGACAGGAUGGUGUUGCCCGAUGAUAGCACCACAUCAUCUGAAACUAUUGACAAUAUACGAUCUGGAUUCUAAUGAAGAUUUAGUGUUCAACAGAUGUUUCCUUUGCCUCUGUGUGAGAUAUUUUAGCAAGUUAAGAAUCUACUGGGAUGUCAAGUGCUGUUCUGUGUCAAAUACCACACUUCUUUCAUGUAAGGGUCUCCAUAUAGGGCAUCCAGUUGUUCUGUUAUAGAUGUCUGGUAGCGACCUUAGUGUCUCAUAGGUUUGUUACACACACCGGAGCUAGAAGAUGGAAAUUGAGGCUCUUUAUUUGAAGAAAUAUAUCUCUACCUAAAAUACCAAUGUCAAACCAGACACUUUCAAAUAGUGUUUCUGUUGCUUUUUGGCUUGCCCUUACUGAGAAGCAGUCAUUAAGAAGUGUUAAAUGUUUCAACUGCAACUCUUUAAACGGUCAUUCUUUCUAUUUGGGAUACUGACUGAUGUCUCAAGUGCAUGAUGCUUCCACGAUGAUCGUGGUGGCGGGUUGUCAUUCAUGUAGAACAGUACCCCCAAGGUCAAGGUCAACUGAUGAUCGACAAAUGUACAUAGCAAGUGUGUGAGUGACAGUGUCUCCAGAUAACACGUGAUAUCGACAAUGGUGCACAGGGCCUGGUGAAGAUCUCUCCGGCGGCCGCUGUGAUACUGUGCUGUAUUUAAGCCGUAGAUGUGUAUAUACAUGUAUAGGUGUCUCCCUGGUUAAAUAUCCUGUGUGAAUGUCGAGAGUGGCAAUUAUUUAUUGUUUCUUUGAACAACAUUAAUGUUUUUUAUACAGUGGACUUUCCUAUAACAGUGACAGUAUGUGUCUUGUCGUGUUGGAUAUUUGUUGAUUUCCCUAGCACUCUGAUGAAUUUUUUUUGUUAGAGUGCUAGCGAUAACAUAUUUUCUUAUUUGUACCUUCAAGAUACCCAUUCUCAUGUGUCAGCACUUUCCUCUUGAGUAAUUUUAUAGUUGACUUGCCCUUCUCUUUUUGCUAAUCAUUAAUUUGAAGUGGUAAAACUAGAGUAAGCAUUUCUAAACGGGUCUUGCAUGUUGCUGUUAUUCAACAUUGAUAUUUUUUCUAAUGUAAAUAAAAGAUUCACAUAACAAGCAAAAAUUUGUAAAAUGGUACCAUUGUUUCUUUUAAUAAAUUAAAUAUUUUAGUUACAAUAAAUAUUUAAAAACAUGGAAUAUUUAUCCAAAUAUUUGUGAUUUUAACUCACAAGCCAUUUAUAACACAUCAUCUAGGACAAUAUGAUUGUCUGUUCAUCUCACUGUCUUGUAUAUUCUCGUCACCAUGACGACACAGAUUACCUUCAUAAUAUUUUGUUAUAAUAUAAACCCAAUUAUGUAUGUAUGUGUACUAAGUCUGUAUGAUGACAAAAACACUUCCUGUCAGUCUGCUAAACCACUAUUUCACUAAAAUGGAACACAGAUACCGUGGUUACACAAUUUUAUGCUAUAUUUAUUUUUCUAUUUUUCAGUAAUUUGCUUAACUGAUCUGCGAGGACACAUUAUAGCCUAGUCAAGUGAUGCUUGGCUUAUCUAGCAGCUAAACUUUCCUAAAUCAAGUCCAAGAUGUGACGUUUAUAUUCCUGUGAUGUGCUGGUCACUGGUCACAUCAGUCAUGACCUGUUAAGGUAGUACCAUUGACAAAGAAGACAGCUCUGCUAUACGACAGUGGUGAUAUAACUCGGAGUAUAACUCGCUUACAGUAUAUAUGCAUGUUCAGUAAAAAUAGCAAGUAUAUGACUGUACAGCUAUUUAACAGUUUGAAUGAAUGUUCCAUUAUCCAGUCAUGUUUGUAACUUUCUUGAGACGUAAAUUGUAAAGAGAUAGUAAUACUUGCUUGCAUAAACUAUAAAGUGUUCGAUGGUGCUAUUGCCUUGUGAAGAUAACCAGUGAUAUGCUGUUGUCCGGGCAUGGAAUCGUACUUCUCUAUUUUAAAUACAAAGUAUCAUUAAGGAUUCAAAGUUCAUGGUUGAUAUAGUGUUGAGAACAAAUUAUACUUUCAGUAAAUGUUUAAUAUCUGGUGUAGCUGUUUGGUGACAAUGUUUGUCCGUAAUGGUGACACGUCGGUGAAAAAGUGGUCUCGCAGUUUUUCACUCACAUGCGAAAAUUUAUCUACCAUGCAUACAGAUGCAGUCCAAUGUUUUCUGGUGUGUCAUAAGUAGACAUUACUUUUAUAAUCAUAUUUGAUAUUUUAGCUGACAUUGCUUGGCUUUUAAAGUAUAAAUAACCAGGUAUUCUUUGACUGAAGUUACUCAAUAAAUGUGCAUGCUUAAGUCAAUACAGAGAGUUAGAUACGGACUGCCAUGAUUGAUUAACUGAUUGAACCUUUUGUGACAGUGUCAUGGUGGAGAUCUCAAGGAAAGGGUGGAAUUAAGCCAGUACAUCAGUGAACAAAAAUUAACUUGCACAUUCUCUAAAUUACAGAAUAAACCCAAGUAUUUGUCAGCUGGUGUCUCGGGGUUUGUGUGAGUUAUCUUGUUGCUCCUUCACCCUCAAGUGUUACAAGUGCUGUGUGAUUUGAAAUCCUUUACUGCUGUUCUUGAAGCAUGUUUGUAGUGGGUGACACUCUAAAGUCUUGCCAGUAGUCAGGCCUCAUUCGUGGCAGUAGGACAUCACUCUACAUAGCAGUCUGGUAAUCAACCAGACAGUACAUUGUUUGACAGGACGCUUGAACUACGCAAGGCAAGAAGGCAUUUUACCAGAUACUUUCUGCCAUAUUUGGAACCAUCUUAAUUGAACCUUUGUUUUGCAGGUGUUAUCUUAACCUCUGAAAUAGCAGUGUUAAGGUCUUGCUCCCCACAGACUUGUAAUAAAAUAUUUCCCAAAUAACUGGGUGUGACCACAGAAAAACUCCUACCAUUGCUUCUGAUGAGUGGAAUAGGAGGCUUUCAUGUGCCAUUAGGAAACUUGUGUUCAAUUUUUGUUCUGCAGAUUGGUUCCUUUAUUUUUUCAAAUAUUCAGUCAUCAAACUUCACAGCAUCAAACAAGCAGUGGGUAGGUAUCUGGUGAAGUGCAUGUGUGUCCUAUUCAAGGCUAUCUCACUGUUCCUCCAUAUGAAGAGUGGCCAUUACUACUUAGAGUAUAUUAAAGUGGGAGCAGUACAACAGCUGAUGACGAUGUGUUUGUUUCAAGACAUCCCGCCACUGUGAUAUGCUCUGAGGGCAAGACAUGGUCCUUUAAAUACAGACAUGCUUGGUUCUCCAUUAAGCAUCAUCCCACCAAUGGUGUUUGAGUUACCAUGGUCGAUUUUGUGUGGGGGAUAGAUGAAUACACCAAAUUGUUUUUAAAACCAAUGUGUGCAUUGUGGAAUUGUUGAUAGCCUUGGACUGUUUCUAUGGCAAAUUUCACAUGCAAAUGUCAACUUAUAUCUCCAUGUAUGAUUUCUAGAAAUAAUAAAUCUGUUCUCUGUA
rnacentral:misc_RNA from 1 species